CAGAACGUAGCUAAAAUUAUAGCAUUUCCCCUACACUGAAAAAGUAUUCGUUAAAGCCGAAUCGUUUUGA
rnacentral:tRNA from 1 species